rnacentral:rRNA from 1 species
AUACGUAGGGUGCGAGCGUUAAUCGGAAUUACUGGGCGUAAAGCGUGCGCAGGCGGCUUUGCAAGACAGAUGUGAAAUCCCCGGGCUCAACCUGGGAACUGCAUUUGUGACUGCAAGGCUAGAGUACGGCAGAGGGGGAUGGAAUUCCGCGUGUAGCAGUGAAAUGCGUAGAUAUGCGGAGGAACACCAAUGGCGAAGGCAACUCCCCUGGGCCUGUACUGACGCUCAUGCACGAAAGCGUGGGGAGC